GACACCAAGCUUGUUAAUUCGAUUACAAAGCAAAUGUUUCAAAGUUUACACGACCGAUAAAACUGUAAUCCUUACUUCGUAUAGCUGUGCACUCAUUUACUAUCGCACUCGAUGCUUCGCCUUGCGGGCGAAACUGCGUCUUUUCUUUCUUUCUUCUUCUUUUGCAUUCUUUUUUGUUCAGUUAACUGCCCUGGGACACAGCAGCUGGAUAUCAGUGGCUUCACCUACGAAGUGGUAUAUUCCACGACUUUUCUGCUGUGAAAAGUCUCAGCGUCCUACCUCAUUAAGUUGGAGGAAAAAAAAACUAAUUGAAAUUGGUACUUUUAACAAUGGAGCGCGAUAGCAGCAGAACGGAGCUACUAAUUUUAACUUAAUCAUGGACUAACAUCGCAAUUACGUAAAAAAAAACACUGCUGGUCCGAUCGCAUAACUUUAGCUAAAGAUAUUUUACACCUGUAUUGCAUUUUAUGCGUGAAUGAGUCUAGCUUGCUUACUUGAAUUCUUUUUUCGUGAUUCUUUCACUGGUGUUAUUUGUGUGCUUUUUUUUAUUAUGCAGAGAAGGGACGUGGGCAACGGUAGUCGUGUGCGGUCUCGCCGCCCUGGUCAUCUUCAUCGGAACUGUGCUAGCCUUCGCCACCGGGGAUGCCACUGAAGUUACUAAAGAAGACGAAGGACCUUUUCGUAGAGGUGCUGGCUACAGGGACACAGGGAGUGUGCCCGAUGGAUUAGACGGCGCUACCGUGGUGCCGCUAAUCGGUGUCCCAGUGCCCGAGCGGCCAAGUGAUCCAGUGUCACAGCAGCCGGGAAGCCCAGCCUUUGAUCGCAGGAGCGGUUCGAACCCUCAACCGCGAGCUGGUGUAGAAGAAGGUGAAUGUUUCCUCCUGUUAUUAAGCCAUCCUGGCUUCUUGUUUCGGCGUAGAGUGGCCUCUAAAAU